rnacentral:lncRNA from 1 species
AUAGCGGAAAAUGUUUUUGAUUUUGUUUGUUAAAUUAAAAACAGAAACCGUCUUCCUUUAGAUGGUUUAGAAACUCCUUUCUCCCCUGUUACAAAGUCUUCACAGAAAAUAAUUUCAUUUUUCUCCACCAUUUCAACUAAUAGAAUAUACUAGACUCUUAGGAAUUUAUUGUAUUGCUGUUAAAAGAAUACUUUAGUAAAUGAAGCCUUCUCUGGUCUGUGAUUUCAUUUCAUUGCCUCUGUGUACAUUGUAACCUCAGCAGUACUUAAAAACCGUUCACUGUACUGAAGCCAGCCUGAACCCUCUUGGAACUCAGUGGAUGAAUUUGCCCUCUGAAAUCUCCCAGGCAACUAAGCAAACCUCAUUUGCAGGAUGGAUCAGGUUUUCCCAUGGCAAUCAAUGCCAGCAGCACCAAAGGCCGCCUGAGGGCUUUUCAAAGAAAGAGGUUGUGUCUGAAAACAGGAGUACAAGUAGCAAACUAAGGAAAAGCUACUGCAACAGGUAACUGAGAAAAGAUGGGAAAUCUUUUGUCUGAAGAGGAAGUUAUUUGUCCUGAGUUUGCAAGAGGAUCU